UACGUAGGUGGCAAGCGAUACUCGGAAUCACUAGGCGUAAAGCGCAGGUAGGAGGUUUAGUAAGUCUGUUGUGAAAGCUCCCGGCUUAACUGGGAGAGGUCAACGGAAACUGCUAGGCUAGAGUGCGGUAGAGGUAGCUGGAAUUCCCGGUGUAGCGGUGAAAUGCGCAGAUAUCGGGAGGAACACCAAUGGCGAAGGCAGCUCGCUGGGACGGUACUGACGCUGAGACGCGAAAGCGUGGGGAGCAACAGG
rnacentral:rRNA from 1 species